UUUCACCGCAUACCAAGCACAACGGAGUCGGUGCUGUUGCAUCUCCGGUAAAAGUAAAUCCAAAUGAAAGAUAGCUUUCGUUGUAUUGCCUUGCGCCAGAAACUUUGCUCGACAUCACCGUCUUUGCUUUCUUUUGACCUCCACUCAUACUAGGGCCUUUAUCUGGGUCUGGAUUUUGUCCAGGGUCCAGUACAGAGUCAGCAUUUUUUCUCUUCAAAAACGUAUCCAUCACUAUCACCGUCGUCACGCUAUCCACAAUGACACCGUCAACGCCACCUGCGGCUGCAUCCAUGCAUCACUAAUUCGCUUGUCUCCAAGCACAAUGCAAUUAGCUACCUGCUGCUUCCACCUACUGGUAUGGAAGAGUACUACAUGAUUACUCUGCCAGGCGCUAGACCGCACAGGCACACAAAUUGGAGAAUUUCCCACGGCACACCUGACAAGUUAGACCACCCUAAUGCUUUGAAAAAAUUGGCAAGUUUUAGAACCCCCUAGAGGUCAGAGCACAAUGCGUCCAUUUUGAAGGGCUAUUUAAAAAAAUGUCAGUGUUGCCCACAUCAAAUUGACACCAAGUUGUUUAAUAACAAACAGAAAAUGGAUGAGAGAAAAUUGGAAAUGUGACAUGAGUCUGCCAAAAAAAAAAAUGGAAAAAAAAAUUAGGUCUGAUCCCCUCCUUCAAUCCAGGGAUGGGCUGUUUUAGCAGGUUGUUCAGUCUCAAUUCCUGGCUCUAAUCAGCAUGCUCCCCCAACAACUUUGUUAUUAGUGACAAUUUCAAUCUUUUUUGGCAGCGUGCAUCAUUCUAUAACAGAGAUUGUAUCCAUCCCAGUCCUGUUGGUGCCCAAUUUAGCUGCAAACAUUUUCCAUGCCAUAUCCACCCUGAGACACCUGAACUCUGUAAAACUCAGUAACUUGACCACACACUUUGUUCCUCAGACAUCUCCAAGAAAACUCUGUUGCUACACCUACUGAUGUAUGUCCCCAAUUGUCGCUACUGCAGCCAAACUUUCUUACAUCACAACACCAGACCUAUACCUUGUAAACUCCCCCUCAUCGUCCACUGUUGUUGCAGUAGACUCAUCUACCUUUUAUCUUAUCAAAUCUUAUCAACUUUAUUGAUAACUUCAGGCUGUUCUGGGACCGCAGGCAUUACUUCAGAGCAGACGGACUCUCUCUAAACAAAGCUGAAGUGAAGCUAUUCACCUCCAACCUGUAUCACUCCCUGCGUCACCCAUCUGUCAAGGACAAGAGACAAGAGGCAAAAAGACGAGAUAAAACACCACGGCCUUGACAGAGAGACGCCUCGGGCCCCCCCGCGCACUAAAAGCUUUGAUUCAAGCCAGAAGGAGGAGUCUGUACCUCCUCUACCACCACUCUCCUUAGAGGACCCACCCUGCUCAAGCAAGGAGGAGGAAUCUCUACUUCCUGUAUGCCCACCUACUGAGGAGGACGUGCCCUGCCAAACUUCACCCAUAGCAUCCUCCUCCCUGGGCACACCAUCCCCCUCCUCCUCCCUGGAUUUUCCAGCUGAACUGAGAGAACCGGAGAAUGCUGGAGUGAGACUUAGCGGCACGCCUCUCCACCACUCCCGCCACAGGACCCCCCCCCAAACUCCCCAAAUCGCCCAAAAUCCUCCAAACAGCCCCUCCUCCUCCCCCACGACAAGGAGUACUGCAGCAUCCUCUCCCUCAGCGUGAUAAGAGCACAGGACUAAUAGUGAGGAACACCUCGUUCUCAAUAAGCUCUUGCUGUUAUGUUUUGGGUCCAGGCAAGGAUAACUACAGUUAUAUCUCUUCCCAGGUCAGCCUGCGGCCCGAUGAGAUAACGUCAUAAAUCCCAGUCAUAAUAAGUAAUAGACAUACUAAUCUGCCUAGAAACAGAAGGUACCUAACUAAGAAUUUAUCAAACUUAGCCUCCAUCCCCCGUCAGCCCAUCAUGAAAAAUAGUACAGAUAAUUUUAGUGCUGGGCGAUAUGGAAAAAAAUGUAUAUCACGAUAUGGAUCAUUUUAUAUCACGAUAACGAUAUAUACCACGAUAAAGCUAUGGUAUGCUUUCAGUUCUAUGAACAAUUAAAGUGUAUACAGCUGCCUUAGUACAGUGCCAGUACAAGACCAGCACUUAAAGCUAGAAAAAUGAAUAAAUAAAUAAAUACAUGGCUGAAGUGAGUUCAUGUCUGUGCUCACCCAAAGUUAUGCAACACUCACAGAAAACACUGAUAGUGUGAGCCAAAGCACUCCAUAAUAAUAAUAAUAAUAAUAAUAAUAAUACAUUUAAUUUGUAAUGCACUUUACAUUUACAAAAAAUCUCAAAGUGCUACAGUGCGCAGUAAAAAAAGAGCAGCAACAAUAAAAAAAGCAAUAGAAUGACAGUCACAGAUUGGCAUAAAAGAAUUAAAAAAAUAAAGAAUAUAGAGUUGCAAUGUAAGAGGCAAGGUAGUAAAAGCAUAGAGGAAAGCUAACCAAAGGCUUUAUUAAAAAGGUAGGUCUUUGGGGCUCUUUUGAAGAGGUUGUUCACACUGCUGGAUGUUUCUCCUCCAAAGCUGCUCUCUGCCUCCAUCAUUGUUUACUUUACUCUUGAAGCACAUAGCAAGACCCGAGCAUGAAUCCGAGCGCUUUAUUCGCCUAUCAGGGGCUGACAGGUAAGGUGAUUUGAUUCGCCACGACUCCAGAAAUGAUUGAAAAACUACAGAAUGUCACAAAAUUACGUUUCCUCGCUCCUGGCUUGAAGGAUAGAAAUGCGCAGCCACACUCCCAGCUGACAGGAAGUCAAACCACUGUUGUAGUUCUUUUGUGUUGCUAGCGCGUUCAAGAGUGUUGGCUCUCACUGAGAGAUGACUACAAAAAUGGACGCACCUGUUCAUCUGGUUGUUUAACACGGCUGAAAAUGAUCAUCUAUUAAUGUUGUUCCCGCUCCUGCCCACUCCCGUUGCUUUUUUUCCCGUCCCGAUCAAGGGAUGGAUUAAAAAUGACUCCCAUCCCGUGGGAUUCCCGCGGGAAUCAAGUGACCCAUGGGAAUUCCCGAAAAAUGUUAUCCUCUACAGAGAAGGUCCCGGAGCAGAUGAAACAGGUGCCAGAGCGGCUGAAAUAGGUCCCGGAUCCGAUCAAAAGAGGUCCUGGAGCGCGCUCCGACUUGCUCAGGCACAAAUUAAGCACUGCUUACAAUGAUCCCCUCACGUGUGUAACCCAGGUAACCCGCAACAGCGGGAGACGCUGGACACGAAGAGAGCACGUAAAGCGGCGUCAUGUCGCAAAAUCGAAAGAGAAAUGCGAGCCUACAUGUCAACGCAUCCUUUUCUUUGUAAGAAAAUAUUGUUUUCUUUCCCGUUUGACACCAAAUACACUUACUGAAUGUGCAAUUAUUGUUGUUGUUACUAUGAAUCAUCUGAUGGCACAAGCCCUAUGGAUAAAAUACAGCCUAUCGCCCGAAACGAUAAAAAUAAAAAUGGCACGAUAGACAUUUUCUAUCGUGCCCACGAUAUCUAUCGUCCUAUCGCCCAGCACUAGAUAAUUUCUCUAGCACAUUACAUUCAGCUCUUUUAAAUGUCAGAUCUUUAGCUGGAAAAUCAUUCUUAAUCAACGAUUUUAUCAUCAAGCACAAUCUUAACUUAAUGUUUUUAACUAAAACCUGGUUAGAACAAGAUAACAGUGCAACUGUUCUUAUCAAGUCAGCCUCCCCUAACUUCAGCUUUAUGAGUGAAACGAGGAAGCAUAGAAAAGGAGGUGGAGUAGCUAUCUUAUUCAAGGACUCAAUGCAAUGUAAACAGAUGUACUAUGGGAAUUUUCCUUCCUUUGAAUAUGUGGCCUUCCAGUUGAACUCUGCUACUAGAGCAAUAUUCCUUAACAUCUACAGACCUCCUAAAUACUGUGUGAAUUUUUUUUAUGACUUUACUGAAUUGCUGUCUAUAAUCUGUAUUGACUUUGACUGUGCAGUGAUUGUUCGUGAUUUUAACAUUCACGUUGACAACCCCCAGGACAGAGGCACCAAAGAAUUAUGCUGUCUCCUUGAUAACUAUGGUUUGAGCCAACAUGUAACAGAGCCCACACACAAUAGAGGUCACACUCUAGACUUAAUUAUUUCCAAGGGCCUGAACAUACCCAAAAUCAUGGUUACUGAUGUUGCUAUUCUUAAUCACUCCUGUGUGUUUUUUGGGAGUACUAUUUCAAUGCCAUUCACUACUACUCAGACAGAGGUAAUCACCAAGCGGCUUAUCACUGACAACACCAGUGAAUUAUUUAAUCAGGCUUUGACUCCCCUCCCAGCUCUCUCACGGCUCUCAGUCAAUGAGCUUGUAGAAGACCUUUGCUCUAGAAUCACAAAUGUGAUGGAUGCCAUUGCGCCCACCAAGGUGAAAAUAGUCUCUGGCAAGAAAAGAUCUCCAUGGAGGAACGCCACGCUGGUUAGAGCUGAAAAAAGAGAGUGUCGGAAAGCCGAACACAGAUGGCGAAAGACAAGCUUUCAGGUUCACUAUCAGAUCUAUAAAGAGAGACUUCGUACCUUUAACCUAGAACUGAGAAAUGCUAGGCGAUCCUUCUUCUCAGACAUCAUCACCAAAAACAAAAAUAAUGCAUGCGCCCUAUUUACCAAAGUCGACAGGCUAACAAACCCCCCAGUAUCAGUAGCCUCUGAAUUUCUGUCCGCCAAGGCUUGUAAUGAAUUUGCCUCCUUCUUCAAUAACAAAAUCCAGAAAAUUAGACAAACAGUCAGUAGCUCAAUAUCCGGUACAGGACAUGUGUUGUCCAUGCGUACUAACCCCAGUAGCAUGACACAAUUCAACCCGAUCAACAUUAAAACCCUGUAGGACAUCAUACUAAAUCUGAACUCCUCCACCUGCUGCCUUGAUAUUCUGCCAACAGGCUUCUUUAAAACAGUUUCUAAUUGCAUGGCCUCAGAUCUUCUACAGAUUGUCAACAUGUCACUUCUGUCAGGUGUCUUUCCACAGGCCCUGAAAACUGCUGUCAUAAAGCCUCUCCUAAAAAAAAGCAACCUAGACAACUCAGUAAUGAACAAUUAUAGGCCUAUAUCGAACCUCCCGUUUUUAAGCAAAAUCACUGAAAAAGCAGCCUUCCAACAGCUUCACAACUUCUUAGUCCUCAACAACUGUUUUGACAUUUUCCAGUCAGAGUUUCGACCGCACCACAGCACUGAGACUGGUCUUAUCAAAGUCUUUAACGACAUCCACUUAAACUCAGACAAUGGCAAAAUUUCAGUCCUAGUAUUGCUCGUUCUCAGUGCCGCUUUCGACACGGUAGACCACAGCAUCCUACUCGAUCGACUGGAAAACUGGGUGGGACUUUCUGGAACAGUACUAAACUGGUUUGCAUCCUACUUAAAGGAUAGAGACUACUUUGUGUCUCUAGGUAAUUACACAUCAGAGCAAACAAAAGUGACAUGUGGGGUUCCCCAAGGCUCCAUUCUGGGGCCACUCCUAUUCAACAUUUACAUGCUCCCUCUAACUCAAAUCAUAGCAAACAACAAAAUAUCUUACCAUAAUUAUGCAGUCGACACACAGAUUUACAUAACCAUAUCGCCAGGCGACUACAAUCCAAUACAAACACUGAGUCAGUGCAUUGAACAAAUCAAUGAUUGGAUGUGUCAGAAUUUUCUUCAACUAAACAAAGAUAAAACUGAAGUAAUUGUAUUUGGAGCAGAAGAAAAGCGAUUAAAAGUCUGAGCUCAGCUUCAGUCGAUAAUGUUAAAAAGCACAAACCAAGCCAGAAACCUUGGUGUUGUCAUGGACUCAGACAUGAAUCUUAACAGCCACAUAAAGACAAUUACAAAGUCAGCCUACUAUCACCUGAAGAAUAAAUCAAGGGUUAAAGGACUGAUGACCCAGCAGGAUUUGGAAAAGCUUGUCCAUGCAUUUAUCUUCAGCAGACUCGACUACUGUAAUAGUGUCUUCACAGGUCUCCCCAAAAAAUCCAUCAGACAGCUCCAACUGAUUCAGAAUGCUGCUGCUUGAGUCCUCACUAAGACCAAGAAAGUAGAUCAUAUCUCCCCAGUUCUCAGAUCUUUACACUGGCUUCCCGUCAGUCAAAGAAUUGAUUUUAAGAUACUAUUGCUGGUUUUUAAAGCACUGAAUGGUUCAGGACCAAAAUACAUUUCUGAUCUGCUGGCAGAGCCGGAUUAACCAUGAGGCAUAGUGAGGCAGAAGCCACUAUGACGCUGAUGAGCUGCGCCUGGUGUGAGGAGGAUUAGGCUGUAUUGGGACAGAGGAAAAAGUGCCUAGAAAGUGAAUCUCGUUCCACUUCAGUGGGGCAACAUAGACUGUGAUUAAUAAAAUAGCUCUAUUGAUAGUUAGUACUGAAAAAAAAUAUCUACUCAUGCCACCCUGUCGAUUUUUAGUAAUCAGUGUUUUGGUGUCGAACUAUUUCCCUUCUGCAGCGUAGUGAUACUUGCACACGCGCAAUCGAAUAUGCAGGAGGUGAAGCGAUUUUUGUCACAUGGACCAAUAGGAGCCGAGUCUCGCUGCCAUAGUAACAGAAAUACACAAACAUGGCGACGACCGCAUCUAGCAGCGAGACAAGUGAAGAGGAAGAAAAGAAAAGGAGAAAAAGAAAUCAGCCUUCAAAAGUGCAUAAAAAAGGAACGAAACGAUGCUAUAUGCAUCUAUCAUCUGUCCAGAGUGAAGACGUUCUCGACUUUACAAGGACACGUUGGGAAACUUACAGAACUAGUAUUAGAAAGUGGCUUUCUCUACAGAGUGAGACAAAAGACCAGCCAGAAAUGUACAUAUAUGUGAGUAACACAAAAAACGAUUAUAUGGUGCUGCUGUUUUUGCUUGUAGAAACUGCUAUGUUGAUUCUGGCAAGACAAAAUCUUUCUCAAAUGUCAUAAAUACAUCUACCUAACAUCUGAAACAGUUAUCGGUGCCUUAGUAUACACAUAAGUGAAUUGAGAUUUUGAAAGAAAACGUCUCAACUCAAGUGAUUUGCACCCAGCACAAUGAAAUAUAUACAGUGAAUUUAGCUAAAAGCUUAUGUUUUAUACAUAAAAAUGACACAACCUACUGUGUAAUAAAAGCAAUAAAAUAUAAACAGCACAUCAUGGCCAUAAAUGGCUGAAAGUCAAUCAAAUUGCUACCACGCUCCCCAAAAUUGGAAUAAUGGAAAAAAUGUAACAAGACAAAAAUAAAUGCACAAAAGGUCUGAAUUAAUUCAAAAUAUGGUAUAAAACAUUUAUUCAAGUAUCACAGUGUCAAAACAUCUGACAGUUGUAUUAACCCAGUGGUUUGGCUAGAGGUGGUGGCUAGUGGAACCGUUAAAUAACCACCCAUAACUGCAGUAAUUUCCACAAAAUGACCAAUAAAAACUGCCAUUUUUUUGCGCGCGGGACAGAGGGGGGCCAUUAGGUUUGCUUAGCCUCAGGGGCCACAGAGGGUUUAAUCCGGGCCUGUCUGCUGGUACGUUACGAACCAUCCAGACCGCUCAGAUCAUCAGGAGCAUGUCUGCUCUCUGUCCCCAGAGUCAGAACUAAACAUGGAGAAGCAGCUUUUAGUUUUUAUGCUCCUCAUAUCUGGAACAAACUCCUUGAAAAAUGUAGAUCUGCUGAAACUCUCAGUUCUUUUAAAUCACAGCUGAAAACGCAUAUGUUUGCCGUGGCCUAUCAUUAAAUCAAACCUGAGGCCCCUAAUCAACAUCUUCAUCAUCUGCCUGUCUUGAUCUCUUUUCUCUCUCUCUUUGUUUUCUUUUAUCUCCAACCUUAAUUUAGUUUUGAAUGUAACUUUAAAUUUGUUAAAUGUCUUUUACGCUGUUUUUACUUUUCAAAUUGUGUUGAAUGUUUUGCCUGCUUGUUUCAUGUAAAGCACCUUAAAUUGCCCUGCUUGACUUAACUUGACUUGACUUGACUUGACUAUCUUAUGUCCAACAUUUCACAUUUUGGUAAUCAUCAGCAAAAAGCAGUGUAUGCAGAAAACCUACAAUUCUACCACUAAUUUGAAUAACCUCAGAUCUUUCCCUACAGCUCAUUCACCACAAAAUUUGUUGUUAAUCAGCCACCACUCACCAUAAAUAUGAACGUCUGCUCUCUGCUGAACAAGUCUUUUACAGUUGGUCCUGAUUUUAGAUCACGAACUUGACUGUUCUCAAUGAGGCCUCCCCACCUGAUUUUUUUUAUUUUUUUUUAUUUAACAACAAAAUAGUGUGACAACAACAACAGAAACAACAACAACAACAAAAAGAUAAAAAAUAAAAAAAAUUACAAAAAUACUUUUGUGAGGGAGGGGAGGGGGAAAGAAUUUAUAUAAUAUGUAAUAGAGAAUUUAACAAGAAAAGAAAAAAAAAUCUUACUGGAUUACAUUGGAAUAUCUAUGUAGUAAUAACUAUAUAUAUACAUAUACAUACACAUACACACAUACAUGCACACAUACAUACACACAUAUACAUAUAUACAUACAUAUACAUAUAUAUACACAUAUAUACACACACACACACAAUCCCCCCGAAUCACCGACACAACAGCGAAGAUACAACAACCACAACAGCAUUAGUAAUGACAACACCAGAAAUACCGGCGAUAGCAAUGACAGCAAACGAAUGACCGCAACGACGCUAACAAUAAUGACAGUCAUAGUAAUGAAGAUAUGGAACAACAAAAAUCACCACAAUUUACAACACUAUGGCCCGGGCCAGAGGCCGGCCCGGCCCCCUGCACACACCAAAGAGCAGGCCGACCGGCACCCACGUCCACCGUGGUGGGACGCCCGCGGGGCACCCCACAGGGCCCCGCCCCGCGGCCACCCGCCAACCGAACUGACCAUCCACUCCACCUCUAAAUACCCUGGGCCGCACAUGACUCUCCUCUUGUGGUAUGUUCAUGUGGUGCAUUAAAAACUUCACUGUGAUGUAUGCAUUAAAAAGUGGGGUGUGAAGGGUUGGUGUGUGAUGCAUUAAAAGUCGGAGAGGCAUGUGACAUGGAACUGGCCCGGGGCAAAAAAAAGAAACUGGGGCAGAGUGGUGCCAAAAAGGGGCGGGGCCCGCGGCCCACACAGGAUCCCCACAUUUUGCGCCCACCAGGUCCAGGCAGCAGCAGGCAUGGCCAGCCAAUCCCAGGACACCGGGGAACCAUGGGCACCAGCCAGCCCACCCUCCGGCGGCACAGGGACCCAAGCCACCCCCCAGCCCAGACCACACCGCCGCACACCACAACGACCUCUGCCAUUCCACAUCCCCACAGCAAUCGCCACCCCCCCUGCCACUACCAUCAUCAUCAUCACCAUCACCAAUCCACCAUCACCACCACUACCGGCACACCACUACCGUCACCACCAACACCAUCAUCAUCAUUACACCAUCACCACUACCUCAAUGACCCGGGGAGACCAUACAUACACACCAUACAUACCAUACAUACACACAUAUACAAAUGCACAUUUUCUUUCUUUUCUUUUUUUUUUUUUUUUUUCCCUAUCUUUCCCUUUCCCUCUUCAUUCCCCUCCCCUUAAUGUGUUUUAUUGAGUGCGGUGUGUGUAUGCAUGUGUGUCUGCCUGCGUGUGCGUGUGUAUUCAAAACAUGUGUAGGAAUGUUAUUGAUAGUAUGGAUAGAUUUAUGUAUAAUUGAU
rnacentral:lncRNA from 1 species